CCUACGGGGGGCAGCAGUGGGGAAUAUUGGGCAAUGGGCGCAAGCCUGACCCAGCAAUGCCGCGUGAAGGAAGAAGGCUUUCGGGUUGUAAACUUCUUUGACAGGGGAAGAGCAGAAGACGGUACCCUGAAAACAAGCCACGGCUAACUACGUGCCAGCAGCCGCGGUAAUACGUAGGUGGCAAGCGUUGUCCGGAUUUACUGGGUGUAAAGGGCGUGUAGCCGGGAAGGCAAGUCAGAUGUGAAAUCUGGCGGCCCAACCGCCAGACUGCAUUUGGAACUGCUGGUCUUGAGUACUGGAGAGGCAGGCGGAAUUCCUAGUGUAGCGGUGAAAUGCGUAGAUAUAAGGAGGAACACCAGUGGCGAAGGCGGUCUGCUGGACAGCAACUGACGGUGAGGCGCGAAAGCGUGGGGAGCAAACAGGAUUAGAUACCCCUGUAGUC
rnacentral:rRNA from 1 species